rnacentral:rRNA from 1 species
UCACGAAGUGGAAUUCGUACGUACGAAACGUCCUAAAGUCGAAACAGGCCCAAGGUAUGACGUCAUGAUUGGGGUG